rnacentral:rRNA from 1 species
AACGAACGCUGGCGGCGUGUCUUAAGCAUGCAAGUCGAGCGGCAAGGAAGUGCUUGCACUUCCCUAGAGCGGCGGACUGGUGAGUAACGCGUGGGUGAUCUACCUCGGGGUUGGGGAUAGCCAUUAGAAAUAGUGGGUAAUACCGAAUACGCUUCCAGGGCUACGGCCUUGGAAGGAAAGGCGCUACGGCGCCGACCUGAGAUGAGCCCGCGUCCCAUUAGCUAGUUGGUGAGGUAACGGCCCACCAAGGCGAUGAUGGGUAGGCGGCCUGAGAGGGUGUACGCCCACAUUGGGACUGAGAUACGGCCCAAACUCCUACGGGAGGCAGCAGCUAAGAAUAUUCCGCAAUGGACGAAAGUCUGACGGAGCGACGCCGCGUGGAUGAUGAAGGCCGGAAGGUUGUAAAAUCCUUUUGUCGGGGAAGAAUAAGCGUGGGAGGGAAUGCCCGCGUGAUGACAUGAACCGGCGAAUAAGCCCCGGCUAACUACGUG